AGCCUUGCCCAGGGGCAGUUUUGUAGCCAAUGAGGUUUAUCCAAGGGGUGAGUAUUGCUAAUUGAAAACUCCAAUAUCCUGUUGUUACAAGUAGAAAUAUAGGCAGACUGACAAUUUUAAUUGACACAGAGACCAAAUAUUUCAGU